GGAGCGGGCCAGACCGCCGCCUGUGCAAGCGUCGAAAGACGGCAUGGGAGGAAGGUCCGGACUGCACAGGGCAGCGUAGCAGGCAACACCUGUCCGCCGUGAGGCGAGGAUCAGAGCAACAGAGACGAGUCGGCAGUCCGGGCCGGCGAGACGGCGACAGCCGUCUCGUCAAGGUUCCCCUCAAGAAGGGCAGCGGUUCGGUCCACCGCAUCGCAUCGCGAUGCGGCGGCCACCGGAACGAAGCGGGACGGGACGCUCGCGCAAGUGAGCGUCGGGACCGCGAGCGCAGCUCGCGGAGCCGGGUGAAACGGGCAAUCUCUACGCGCAGCAACACCGAAUAGGCCGGCGUUUGAAUGUGGCCCGCAUGAGCCGGCGGGUGGGUGGCAUCGAGCCGUCGGAGCGAUCCACGGCCCAGAGGAAUGGCGGUCACGGUGCGGGGCGACCCGCGCCGCACAGAAUCCGGCCUACCGGCCCGCUCCACAC
rnacentral:RNase_P_RNA from 1 species